GAUGAACGCUGGCGGCGUGCCUAACACAUGCAAGUCGAACGGAACUGUUUUGAAAGAUUUCUUCGGAAUGUAUUUGCUUUAGGUUAGUGGCGGACGGGAGAGUAACGCGUGAGUAACCUGCCUUCAAGAGGGGAAUAACAUUCUUACAAGAAAGCUAAUACCGCAUGACAUAUCGGAACCACAUGGUUUUUAUAUCAAAGCUUUUAUCGCUUGAAGAUGGACUGGCGUCGGAUUAGUUAGUUGGGGAGGUAACGGCUAACCAAGACCGCGAUCGGUAGCCGGACUGAGAGGAUGAGCGGCCGAAUUGGGACGGAGGCACGGGUCAGACUCCUACGGGAGGCAGCAGUGGGGGAUAUUGCGCAAUGGGGGCAAGUCUGACGCAGCAACGGCGCGUGAAGGAUGAAGGUUUGCGAAGUGUAAACUUCUUUUAUUAAGGACGAAAAAUGACGGUACUUAAUGAAUAAGCCCCGGCUAACUACGUG
rnacentral:rRNA from 1 species